rnacentral:rRNA from 1 species
CAGAUCAGAAGCGAGAAUGUUGACAUGAGUAGCGACAAACAGGGUGAGAGACCCUGUCGCCGUAAGUCCAAGGGUUCCUGCUUAAAGCUAAUCUGAGCAGGGUAAGCCGGCCCCUAAGGCGAGGCCGAAAGGCGUAGUCGAUGGGAACACGGUUAAUAUUCCGUGGCCAGGAGGAAGUGACGGAUUUCAAAGAUUGUCUGCCCUUAUCGGAUUGGGUGGGCCGUUCAGAGGUCCCUGGAAAUAGCCCUCCAUCAGACCGUACCCUAAACCGACACAGGUGGACUGGUAGAGUAUACCAAGGCGCUUGAGAGAACCACGUUAAAGGAACUCGGCAAAAUGCCUCCGUAAGUUCGCGAGAAGGAGGCCCCGUCUGUAGGCAACUAUAGGCGGGGGGCACAAACUAGGGGGUGGCGACUGUUUACUUAAAACACAGGGCUCUGCGAAGCCGUAAGGCGACGUAUAGGGUCUGACGCCUGCCCGGUGCUGGAAGGUUAAAAGGAGGGGUGCAAGCUCUGAAUUGAAGCCCCAGUAAACGGCGGCCGUAACGAUAACGGUCCUAAGGUAGCGAAAUUCCUUGUCGGGUAAGUUCCGACCUGCACGAAUGGCGUAACGAUCUCCCCGCUGUCUCUAACGUGGACUCAGCGAAAUUGAACUGUGUGUCAAGAUGCACACUACCCGCGGUUAGACGGAAAGACCCCAUGAACCUUUACUCCAGCUUUGCACUGGCAUCAGGAUUGCGAUGUGCAGGAUAGGUGGUAGCCUUUGAAGCGGGGACGCUAGUUCCCGUGGAGGCUCCCUUGGGAUACCACCCUUCGCACUCUUGAUGUCUAACCGCGGCCCGUUAUCCGGGUCCGGGACCCUGCAUGGUGGGGAGUUUGACUGGGGCGGUCGCCUCCCAAACAGUAACGGAGGCGCGCGAAGGUAGGCUCAGACCGGUCGGAAAUCGGUCGUUGAGUGCAAUGGCAGAAGCCUGCCUGACUGCAAGACUGACAAGUCGAGCAGAGACGAAAGUCGGUCAUAGUGAUCCGGUGUCCCAAGUGGGAGGGCCAUCGCUCAACGGAUAAAAGGUACUCUGGGGAUAACAGGCUGAUGAUGCCCAAGAGUCCAUAUCGACGGCAUCGUUUGGCACCUCGAUGUCGGCUCAUCUCAUCCUGGGGCUGGGGCAGGUCCCAAGGGUAUGGCUGUUCGCCAUUUAAAGAGGUACGUGAGCUGGGUUUAGAACGUCGUGAGACAGUUCGGUCCCUAUCUGCCGUGGGUGUAGGAGACUUGAGAAGAGUUGCCCCUAGUACGAGAGGACCGGGGUGAACGAACCACUGGUGGACCAGUUAUCGUGCCAACGGUAGUGCUGGGUAGCUAUGUUCGGACAGGAUAACCGCUGAAGGCAUCUAAGCGGGAAGCCCCCUUCAAAACAAGGUCUCCCUUGAGGGCCGUGGAAGACCACCACGUCGAUAGGCCGGAGGUGUAAGUGCAGCAAUGCAUUCAGCUGACCGGUACUAAUUGCCC